rnacentral:rRNA from 1 species
AGAACGAACGCUGGCGGCAGGCUUAACACAUGCAAGUCGAACGCCCCGCAAGGGGAGUGGCAGACGGGUGAGUAACACGUGGGAACAUACCCUUUGGUUCGGAAAAACUUCGGGAAACUGAGGCUAAUACCGGAUACGCCCUUGGACUUGUUCUGGGGGGAAAGAUUGAUCGCCGAAGGAUUGGCCCGCGUUCGAUUAGCUAGUUGGUACGGUAAUGGCGUACCAAGGCGACGAUCGAUAGCUGGU